rnacentral:rRNA from 1 species
GACGAACGCUGGCGGCGGGCUUAAUACAUGCAAGUCGAAGGGAAGCACCACUGUCGCGGUGCAGUCGCUUGGCGAACGGGUGAGUAACCGGUAAGUGUACGCCCCUUGACCAUGGCUUGGGUUUAGGACAGGGGAGCUAGUACCGAUACGUCGUUACUGUUUUAUGUUGGGUGUUUUAAUAUUUAGGGGUUUGGGGAUGUGCUCGCGGCGUAUGAGUGUGUUGGUGGGGUAUUGGCUUACCAACGCGUUGACGGGUAGCCGGUCUGAGAGGGUGACCGGCCACAUUGGGACUGAGAUACGGCCCAGACUCCUACGGGAGGCAGCAGUGGGGAAUAUUGCACAAUGGGUGGAAGCCUGAUGAAGCAACGCCGUGUGCGGGAUGACGGCCUUCGGGUUGUAAACCGCUUUCGCCUGUGACGAAGCGUGAGUGACGGUAAUGGGUAAAGAAGCACCGGCUAACUACGUG